rnacentral:rRNA from 1 species
ACCACGGGACACGUGAAACCCUGUGGGAAGCAGGAGGGACCACCCUCCAAGGCUAAAUACUACCUAGUGACCGAUAGCGUAUAGUACCGUGAGGGAAAGGUGAAAAGAACCCCGGGAGGGGCGUGAACUAGAACCUGAAACCCUGCACUUACAAGCUGUGGAAGCACAUUUCUUGUGUGACCGCGUACUUUUUGUAGAACGGGCCAACGAGUUACGUUAAGUAGCAAGGUUAAGCACUUAAGGUGUGGA